rnacentral:rRNA from 1 species
GUUGURUGGUUAAGUGACUAAGCGUACACGGUGGAUGCCUUGGCAGUCAGAGGCGAUGAAAGACGUAGUAACUUGCGAUAAGCCCAGAUUAGGUAGUAACAACCAUUUGAGUCUGGGAUUUCUGAAUGGGGAAACCCACGUGCAUAAGCACGUAUCCUUACCUGAAUACAUAGGGUAAGGARGCGAACCGGGGGAACUGAAACAUCUAAGUACCCCGAGGAAAAGAAAUCAACCGAGAUUCCGAAAGUAGCGGCGAGCGAAAUUGGACUAGCCCUUAAGCUUUACACGCGUUAGACGAACGGUCUGGAAAGUCCGACGAUACAGGGUGAUAGUCCCGUAGUUGACGACGUGUGUUCAGUGAAAUCGAGUAGGGCGGGACACGUGAUAUCCUGUCUGAAUAUGGGGGGACCAUCCUCCAAGGCUAAAUACUACUGACUGACCGAUAGUGAACCAGUACCGUGAGGGAAAGGCGAAAAGAACCCCUGUGAGGGGAGUGAAAUAGAACCUGAAACCGUGUACGUACAAGCAGUAGGAGCAGGCUUUGUCCUGUGACUGCGUACCUUUUGUAUAAUGGGUCAGCGACUUAUAUUCAGUGGCAAGGUUAACCAUCUAGGGGAGCCGUAGGGAAACCGAGUCUUAACUGGGCGUUCAGUCUCUGGAUAUAGACCCGAAACCAGGUGAUCUAGCCAUGGGCAGGUUGAAGGUUGAGUAACAUCAACUGGAGGACCGAACCGACUAAUGUUGAAAAAUUAGCGGAUGACUUGUGGCUAGGGGUGAAAGGCCAAUCAAACCUGGAGAUAGCUGGUUCUCCCCGAAAGCUAUUUAGGUAGCGCCUCGGACGAAUACUACUGGGGGUAGAGCACUGUUAAGGCUAGGGGGUCAUCCCGACUUACCAACCCUUUGCAAACUCCGAAUACCAGUAAGUACUAUCCGGGAGACACACGGCGGGUGCUAACGUCCGUCGUGGAGAGGGAAACAACCCAGACCGCCAGCUAAGGUCCCAAAUUACUACUAAGUGGGAAACGAUGUGGGAAGGCUCAGACAGCCAGGAUGUUGGCUUAGAAGCAGCCAUCAUUUAAAGAAAGCGUAAUAGCUCACUGGUCGAGUCGGCCUGCGCGGAAGAUGUAACGGGGCUAAGUAGUAAACCGAAGCUGCGGCAAUGUGCUUUUGCACAUUGGGUAGGGGAGCGUUCUGUAAGCGGUUGAAGGUGUGUGGUAACGCAUGCUGGACGUAUCAGAAGUGCGAAUGCUGACAUGAGUAACGAUAAAGGGGGUGAAAAACCUCCUCGCCGGAAGACCAAGGGUUCCUGUCCAACGUUAAUCGGGGCAGGGUAAGUCGACCCCUAAGGCGAGGCCGAAAGGCGUAGUCGAUGGGAAACGGGUUAAUAUUCCCGUACUUCUUACAAUUGCGAUGGGGGGACGGAGAAGGCUAGGUGGGCCUGGCGACGGUUGUCCAGGUUCAAGUGCGUAGGCUKAAGAGUUAGGUAAAUCCGGCUCUUUUACCAGGUGGCUGCAACUGUUUAUUAAAAACACAGCACUGUGCAAAAUCGUAAGAUGACGUAUACGGUGUGACGCCUGCCCGGUGCCGGAAGGUUAAUUGAUGGGGUUAGACUUCGGUCGAAGCUCUUGAUCGAAGCCCCGGUAAACGGCGGCCGUAACUAUAACGGUCCUAAGGUAGCGAAAUUCCUUGUCGGGUAAGUUCCGACCUGCACGAAUGGCGUAAUGAUGGCCACGCUGUCUCCACCCGAGACUCAGUGAAAUUGAAAUCGCUGUGAAGAUGCAGUGUACCCGCGGCUAGACGGAAAGACCCCGUGAACCUUUACUACAGCUUGGCACUGAACAUUGACCCUACAUGUGUAGGAUAGGUGGGAGGCUUUGAAGCACGUACGCCAGUAUGUGUGGAGCCGUCCUUGAAAUACCACCCUUGUAGUGUUGAUGUUCUAACGUUGACCCCUUAUCGGGGUUGCGGACAGUGCCUGGUGGGUAGUUUGACUGGGGCGGUCUCCUCCCAAAGAGUAACGGAGGAGCACGAAGGUGGGCUAAUCACGGUUGGACAUCGUGAGGUUAGUGCAAUGGCAUAAGCCCGCUUGACUGCGAGAAUGACAAUUCGAGCAGGUGCGAAAGCAGGUCAUAGUGAUCCGGUGGUUCUGAAUGGAAGGGCCAUCGCUCAACGGAUAAAAGGUACUCCGGGGAUAACAGGCUGAUACCGCCCAAGAGUUCAUAUCGACGGCGGUGUUUGGCACCUCGAUGUCGGCUCAUCACAUCCUGGGGCUGAAGUCGGUCCCAAGGGUAUGGCUGUUCGCCAUUUAAAGUGGUACGCGAGCUGGGUUUAGAACGUCGUGAGACAGUUCGGUCCCUAUCUGCCGUGGGCGUUGGAAGAUUGAAGGGGGCUGCUCCUAGUACGAGAGGACCGGAGUGGACGAACCUCUGGUGUUCGGGUUGUGUCGCCAGACGCAUUGCCCGGUAGCUAAGUUCGGAAUCGAUAACCGCUGAAAGCAUCUAAGCGGGAAGCGAGCCCUGAGAUGAGUCUUCCCUGAUACUUUAAGUAUCCUAAAGGGUUGUCGGAGACUACGACGUUGAUAGGUCAGGUGUGUAAGUGCUGUGAGGCAUUGAGCUAACUGAUACUAAUUGCCCGUGAGGCUUAACCAUACAACACCCAAGGGGUUU